rnacentral:sRNA from 1 species
GCCGGGCAUGGUGGUGCUCACCUGUAAUCCCAGCAGCUUGGGAGGCUGAGGCAGGAGAAUCACAAGUUCAAAGCCAACCUCAGAAUCUUAGCAAGGCCUUAAGCAACUUAGUGAGAUCCCAUCUCAA